rnacentral:rRNA from 1 species
AAGAGUAGGGAAGUGUGUGAGCCAUGCGUCAAGAAAAGCCGCUAUUGUUUUACUUAAGCCCGUACCGUAAACCGACACAGGUGGAUGAGGAGAGAAUCCUAAGGCCGACGGGAGAAGCAUUGUUAAGGAACUCGGCAAAAUGACUCCGUAACUUCGGGAGAAGGAGUGCCAGCGAGAGCUGGCCGCAGAGAAUUGGCCCAAGCAACUGUUUAGCAAAAACACAGGUCUAUGCAAAACCGUAAGGUGAAGUAUAUGGGCUGACGCCUGCCCGGUGCUGGAAGGUUAAGAGGAGAGGUUAGCGGCAACGCGAAGCUUUGAAUUUAAGCCCCAGUAAACGGCGGCCGUAACUAUAACGGUCCUAUGGUAGCGAAAUUCCUUGUCGGGUAAGUUCCGACCCGCACGAAAGGCGUAAUGAUUUGGGCACUGUCUCAACAAUGCACCCGGUGAAAUUGAAAUACCAGUGAAGAUGCUGGUUACCUGCGCCAGGACGGAAAGACCCCAUGGAGCUUUACUCCAGCUUGAUACUGGGAUUCGGUAUUGCAUGUACAGGAUAGGUGGGAGGCUAGGAAGUGAUAACGCCAGUUGUCACGGAGCCGCUGUUGGGAUACCACCCUUGCAGUAUUGGAUUUCUAACCAGCGACCAUGAACUGGUCGGGGGACAAUGUCAGGUGGGGAGUUUGACUGGGGCGGUCGCCUCCGAAAGGGUAUCGGAGGCGCUCAAAGGUUCCCUCAGAAUGGACGGAAACCAUUCGAAGAGUGCAAAGGCAGAAGGGAGCUUGACUGCGACACCGACGGGUGGAGCAGGUACGAAAGUAGGACUUAGUGAUCCGGUGGUAUAAAGUGGGAUUGCCAUCGCUCAACGGAUAAAAGCUACCCUGGGAUAACAGGCUUAUCACUCCCAAGAGUUCACAUCGACGGAGUGGUUUGGCACCUCGAUGUCGGCUCAUCGCAUCCUGGGGCUGAAGUAGGUCCCAAGGGUUGGGCUGUUCGCCCAUUAAAGCGGUACGCGAGCUGGGUUCAGAACGUCGUGAGACAGUUCGGUCCCUAUCCGGCGUGGGCGUAGGAUAUUUGAGAGGAGCUGUCCUUAGUACGAGAGGACCGGGAUGGACUGGCCGCUAGUGUAUCUGUUGCAUACCAAAUGCAUGGCAGAGUAGCCAAGCCGGGACGGGAUAAACGCUGAAGGCAUCUAAGCGUGAAGCCCCCCUCAAGAUGAGAUAUCCCUACGUAAGUAGUAAGACCCCUUGAAGACGACGAGGUAGAUAGGUCAGAGGUGGAAGUACAGUAAUGUAUGGAGCUGACUGAUACUAAUCGGUCGAGGGCAUGACCA